CCUCUUCUCCGCCGUCACCCGCCGCCUCCACCACCGGUACGUCACCCUCCCGGUCGCCCCCGACGGCCUCCUCUCCAUCUUCCGGCCUCGGCGGUGAAGGUUCAUGGAUGCAUCUGACAUUGACCUUGGAAGCCUAGAGGUGGUGUGCAGGCUCAGCCACUCGGAGAUGCUUCAUGUAUCCAUCUGGCCUCAUUGCAGUCCAAUUGAUCAUCCUUUGCCACAGUAUUGAAGGCACCCGCAGGACCACCCACUUUGAAGAGGGGACCUGACUACCCAUUGUGUGUGAUCAUUAUUUCACAGAAUGUGCAUCUCCUACAUGCAAAUGAAAGGGUAUGAAACAUGGAAAGCUGAGAAAAGCAGAAAGAGUAGUAGUGCAGAACAUGAGGUCAUCAGUGCAGAGCCUGAAAAAUCUAUGCAACUUCAUAUUCUUU